CCUACGGGAGGCUGCAGUGAGGGAUAUUGGUCAAUGGCCGGAACGCUGAACCAGCGAUGCCGCGUGGAGGUCAGUGCCCUAUGGGCGGUAAACUUCUGUUGUGCGGGAGCAAUAAUGGUCACGUGUAGCCAGACGAGAGUACCGUACGAAUAAGCAUCGGCUAACUCAGUGCCAGCAGCCGCGGUAAUACGGAGGAUCCGGGCGUUAUCAGGAGUGAUUGGGUUGAAAGGGUGCGUAGGCGGUUUGAUAAGUUAGAGGUGAAAUGUCGGGGCUCAACCCCGAAACUGCCUCUAAUACUGUUGGACGAGAGAAUAGUUGCGGUAGGCGGAAUGUAUGGUGUAGCGGUGAAAUGCUUAGAGAUCAUACAGAAGACCGAUUGCGAAGGCAGCUUACCAAACUAUAUCUGAAGUUGAGGCACGAAAGCGUGGGUAGCAAACAGGAUUAGAGACCCUGGUAGUC
rnacentral:rRNA from 1 species